GAUGAACGCUGGCGGCGUGCCUAAUACAUGCAAGUCGAGCGAACGGACGAGAAGCUUGCUUCUCUGAUGUUAGCGGCGGACGGGUGAGUAACACGUGGAUCACCUACCUAUAAGACUGGGAUAACUUCGGGGAACCGGAGCUAAUACCGGAUGAUAUUUUGAACCGCAUGGUUCAAAAGUGAAAGACUGUCUUGCUGUCACUUAUAGAUGGAUCCGCGCUGCAUUAGCUAGUUGGUAAGGUACCGGCUUACCAAGGCAACGAUGCAUAGCCGACCUGAGAGGGUGAUCGGCCACACUGGAACUGAGACACGGUCCAGACUCCUACGGGAGGCAGCAGUAGGGAAUCUUCCGCAAUGGGCGAAAGCCUGACGGAGCAACGCCGCGUGAGUGAUGAAGGUCUUCGGGUCGUAAAACUCUGUUAUUGGGGAAGAACAUAUGUGUAAGUAACUGUGCACAUCUUGACGGUACCUAAUCAGAAAGCCACGGCUAACUACGUG
rnacentral:rRNA from 1 species